UCCCUUGAAAAAUGAAGGAAGGGGGCUAACUGCAUGCAGUACAUAUAGUGAUGAGUAUUAAUUCCUCCUUGGAAAAUCUAUUAUUCAAAACUGGUUACUCUACUUACAUAAAUUAGUUUAUUAACUAAAUUUUCCUUAUCAGGUACUAGAGAUUACAUUAAUGCAAUUAUUAAAAAACUGCAAAGUUCACACUUUGGACUGCAGGCUUUCUUUUUGGCUUAGAAAAGCUCCAAAUAUGACUGGAAGAAAUAAUAAUAAUAAAAUUAUUUGUUCUGUAGUAGUUUAGAAAGGACAGUAGAUCAUCAAUUUUUUUAAGAUGUCUGCAAGCUUUUCACACAAUGAGAACUACAACUAAACAACCAGUGUGAAACAAGUCUCUAAAAUGAUCAAGAAUUUUUCAUUAUUUUGUUUAGUGAAGUAAAUCACAUGACAGCAGUAAAUGUGAGUCAAAACAUUUUCCAAAUUCAACAGCAUUUACAAAUGAGGAGAGUUUUGAGCCCUUGGUGCCUGGAACAAGUCAGCAGGUAGACAUUCUGGAGCUACCACAGGUUAAUCAUUAUAUACACUGUAUAACACCAGCUUACUUAUACUACUACCAAGCAUAAGACGUCAAAGUCAGCACACAAAUACAGUGAAAUAAUGUUGUCUGAAAAAGCCAUCAGAGAGUCAGAAGGUAGUUCACAGGUUUGAUUUACCUGCACAGGGGGAAGAACUGGAAUUCUGAGACCCAGUGGAACUUGAUGGGAAAAUUCAGUUAGUGAGGGAUGAAAACCACAUAUGGAGCCACAGAGAAGGGAAAGCUCAUUUAGGUAUGCAGCAGGAGACAUCUUGAAGGCUGCAUGACAUCUCAUUCACUAUUAAGGGCUGAUGCACCUGCUCACUUGACUAGGUAUGAAAAGAAGCAACACUUGAGACUGAAGAGAAGUAAGGACAAAGCAAGGAAAUCUGAUUAAGGGGAUGUCUCAAUCUCACAAGCUUUUAUCAGUCUCAAAGCUGACAAUGUGGAAAGUGUUGUACUUAAGGCAUGAAGCAUCAUCUCCUCUACUUAUAGGUUAGCUACCAGAAUAUUUUGGUAUUCUUAACACAGUUCCUUUGAUAAAAAAAUUGUAUCUGAUUAUCAACUAUGCAGGAAUAAACAACCACACAUAUUCAAUCAAAACACUGACUUUUUCUAAAAUCAAACCAUUUUGGGAAGAAACCACAAUUUUUCUUUUUAGGUUCUACUUUUUUUGUUGUAUUUAAUCUUUUUGGCCACUCUUUCAUAAGACAAAAGACAGGCAACAGCAAAAAUAACUCUGCUUGUAAGUAGACAGCUUUUCACUUCUAAAGUGAAGAAAGCUUUUUUCACUUUUUUGGGGGAGGAAGCUGUGGGGGGAGGCUUGGUGAGUUUUGCUUGGUUGGUUGGUUGGGUUUUUUUUUAGGUUCUUUGAUGGAACACAGGCAAUGACAGAAUGAACAGCAUAUGACCUCAAAAUGGGAAAAUGUCUUUAGUCAAUUAUUCUUUAAAAAUAUUCAAUUUGCCAAAAUUCUGAAUAUUGUGUGAAUUUGUUUUACAUUACUGCAAUAGGGACUGAGGUAUUAGCUUUUUCCAGGCAAGUAAAGAUAUGGAGAAGGCUAGGGAAACAAUACAGUGAAAUGUAGUACUUUUAUAAAUAGACAGCACAAAAUAUUUGAUGAUUGUCAGAUAGUAGCAAGAUUUUGUUAAAACGAAAACUUACUGUUUUCUCUUCACUGUUUUCAAUGGAAACUCUAUCAUUUAUGAAAUUCACGAAGGGUAUUAUUUAAAGCUGGACAAAAUGUUGAAGCAAGUGUUUCAUUUCUCUAAUCAAAUGUAUGUAGUUUCAGGAUGAUUUAAUGUACUUUCACAGCUGUA